GUAGGGAAUAUUGGGCAAUGGUCGGAAGACUGACCCAGCCAUGCCGCGUGCAGGAAGACGGCCCUCUGGGUUGUAAACUGCUUUUAUCUGGGAAGAAAAAGGCCAUGCGUGGCAAAUUGCCGGUACCAGAUGAAUAAGCACCGGCUAACUCCGUGCCAGCAGCCGCGGUAAUACGGAGGGUGCGAGCGUUGUCCGGAUUUAUUGGGUGUAAAGGGUGCGUAGGCGGCUGAUUAAGUCAGCGGUGAAAGACUUCGGCUUAACCGGAGCAGUGCCGUUGAUACUGGUUGGCUUGAGUGUCGGAGGGGUACAUGGAAUUGAUGGUGUAGCGGUGAAAUGCAUAGAUACCAUCAGGAACACCGAUAGCGAAGGCAUUGUACUGGCCGACAACUGACGCUGAUGCACGAAAGUGUGGGGAUCGAACAGGAUUAGAUACCCGGGUAGUCC
rnacentral:rRNA from 1 species